GACGAACGCUGGCGGCGUGCUUAACACAUGCAAGUCGAACGGUGAAGCCUUUCGGGGUGGAUCAGUGGCGAACGGGUGAGUAACACGUGGGCAACCUGCCCCUGACUUCGGGAUAAGCCCGGGAAACCGGGUCUAAUACCGGAUAUGAUCAUGUCCCGCAUGGGGUGUGGUGGAAAAGUUUUUUCGGUCAGGGAUGGGCUCGCGGCCUAUCAGCUUGUUGGUGGGGUGAUGGCCUACCAAGGCGACGACGGGUAGCCGGCCUGAGAGGGCGACCGGCCACACUGGGACUGAGACACGGCCCAGACUCCUACGGGA
rnacentral:rRNA from 1 species